GGGCUUCGCAAGGCGGUUUCUUCAGUCUGAGGUGAAAGCCCCCGGCUUCAACCGGGGAGGGUCAUUGGAAACUGGGGAACUUGAGUGCAGAAGAGGAGAGUGGAAUUCCACGUGUAGCGGUGAAAUGCGUAGAGAUGUGGAGGAACACCAGUGGCGAAGGCGACUCUCUGGUCUGUAACUGACGCUGAGGAGCGAAAGCGUGGGGAGCGAACAGGAUUAGAUACCCUGGUAGUCCACGCCGUAAACGAUGAGUGCUAAGUGUUAGGGGGUUUCCGCCCCUUAGUGCUGCAGCUAACGCAUUAAGCACUCCGCCUGGGGAGUACGGUCGCAAGACUGAAACUCAAAGGAAUUGACGGGGGCCCGCACAAGCGGUGGAGCAUGUGGUUUAAUUCGAAGCAACGCGAAGAACCUUACCAGGUCUUGACAUCCUCUGACAAUCCUAGAGAUAGGACGUCCCCUUCGGGGGCAGAGUGACAGGUGGUGCAUGGUUGUCGUCAGCUCGUGUCGUGAGAUGUUGGGUUAAGUCCCGCAACGAGCGCAACCCUUGAUCUUAGUUGCCAGCAUUCAGUUGGGCACUCUAAGGUGACUGCCGGUGACAAACCGGAGGAAGGUGGGGAUGACGUCAAAUCAUCAUGCCCCUUAUGACCUGGGCUACACACGUGCUACAAUGGACAGAACAAAGGGCAGCGAAACCGCGAGGUUAAGCCAAUCCCACAAAUCUGUUCUCAGUUCGGAUC
rnacentral:rRNA from 1 species